GGCGGUGUCCCGGAGAUCAGGCGUCGCGUGGCGGUCCAGUGGGACGCUGACCUGGAGGAGGCGGUGGAUGGAGUGAGGUAUAUCGCUGAACACAUGAAGACAGAGGACGGAGAUGAAGGGAUCAUAGAGGACUGGAAGUACGUAGCGAUGGUAAUUGACCGUCUGUUCCUGUGGAUCUUUAUCCUGGUGUGUGUGGUGGGAACCCUGGGUCUCUUCAUGCAGCCCCUCUUCCAGAGCUACAACACUCCUACUGCAGACAGCAACGAGUAUGGUGAUUUCUGAGAGCCCCUGGGCGUCGGAGAGGGAAACCCUGUAGCAGCUAAACGGACCGUUGUCCUACGAACUCUGGAGCAACCUGUGCCAAAGCACCGCCAGUAGUACUUCUCCCCUCGGCAGCAGCUCAUGAAGCAUUAUAAAACAUUAUAGAGGUACUAUAGGGUCUACUGUGAGCCGUACGCUGGAUCUCUCUCUCUAACUCUCUCUGGGCUCUCCACUCUUCAAGACAAGAUCUCAACUAACAACAGUAGUACUUCUCCCCUCGGCAGCAGCUCAUGGAGCAUUAUAAGACAUUAUAGAGGUACUAUACGGUCCACUGUGAGCCGUACGCUGGAUCU